CUCCGCUCCACCGUACAGCUCCAGCGGCAGCCGCCCGGCCGAGUCCCUCCAGACCGCGCUCCAGUGGAGAGAGCCGCUCAUUCCUGUCGGGUGUUUAAUCACAGCUUCUCCUGAGGGUCCCCUGGCUCCUUCUGAGCCCAAUGCUGUGGGACUGUCUGCCCUAGCCUUUGUCCGCAGAUGUCAUAGUGUCUGGAGGAAGGCUAGGAAGGCCUUGGUCCAGGCCUCCAGACGGACCAAAGCAGCGGCUGAUUGCCCCCAGAUUCCGGUGCCCUGCUAUGUCUGUGGUCAGAAGGUAUGGCUGUCUACCAAGUACCUGCCUCUAAAGGCUGUCUCUCGCAAGUUAGCACCUAGGUUCAUUGGUCCAUACCAGAUCACCAAGGUCCUUAAUCCGGUUGCAGUAUGGCUCAAGUUGCCUCCCCUCCUUGGUCGGUUGCACCCUGUUUUUUUAUGUAUCCAAGUUUAAACCUGUUUUCAGAUCUCCCCUUAAUGCCAACAUUUCAUCCCCUUCCCCCCUCCCCCUCGUCUAGUGCAUGGUUCUCCUGUCUAUUCUGUUAGGAGAUUACUAGAUGUUCGUCGUCAUGGCAGGGGUUUCUAAUACCUGGUGGACUGGGAGGGUUACCGUCCGGAGGAGAGGAGUUGGGUUCCAGCUCGGGAUAUUCUGCAUCGGUCGCUGGUCGAGGACUUCUGCCGGAGACAAGUGUAAAGGAGGUCUGGGUCUCCUCCUGAGUGCAGCACACAAUAACUUUGGUAAAGAAGAAGAAGAAGAAGAAGCAGAUGAAUAUAGUGCAGGCCAGAAUCUCCCGAGAACAGUGUGUCUGAUCACAGAGCAGCUAGUGCUAAAUGGACUUUGACCCUGUACGUUUACAGAUUAACUUCUUAUCACUGUCCAACCACCCGCACCCUGCUGGCAAAAACUCAUUCUGAUGUAUAUUACAGGUAUACAUGUGUAACAGAUGUGGGAACAGCUGGAUGUGACCAUUCACACACCACACCCUCCAUUACUUUAAAUCCAUUUUUAAACUUGUUUUCUUUUUGUGCUCCCUUCAUUCUAUAUUAUCUUCAUAAUCAUCUUCAUCGUCUCAUAUUCUAAUUUUAUUAGAAACUACAGUCUCAGUUACUGAUUUCCAAUGAAAUGCUCUGUAUGGAAAUCUAA